rnacentral:rRNA from 1 species
AGUAACGGCGAGUGAAGCGGCAACAGCUCAAAUUUGAAAUCUGGCUCUCGGGCGCGAGUUGUAAUUUGUAGAGGAUGCUUUUGAUGCGGUGCCUUCCGAGUUCCCUGGAACGGGACGCCAUAGAGGGUGAGAGCCCCGUCUGGUUGGAUGCCAAAUCUCUGUAAAGCUCCUUCAACGAGUCGAGUUGUUUGGGA